ACUGAACAAUCCAUUUAGCACCAUAUAAAGGGACAUUAGCACUACAUGUUAUAACAAUUUACAUAUAUGAUGAUAUGCUUUUGUACAAAUGACAGUGAAACAAUUCACCUUUAAACAUCUUCAUUAUUUCUGACAAAUUUCAGUUAUAGAAAAAAUUGUAAUGUAUUUAUAUUGAAAUUUGAAAAAUUAUUUAAUUUCAAUUUUUAAACAUUUCUAUUAUAAUAUAGUAAUUAGUCAACUAAAAAUAGCUAUAAUUUAAAUGCACAACAAUCAGAUCUGUGAGUAUUCAUGAUCUAAAAUAAGAAUAUGAGUAUUUCUCUCAUAAUAUAAAAUCUUUGGUGGCUGAGUGAUAUCGCUGUUCGUGCUUACAUCCUGGGUUUUUAAAAUUAUUGAAUAGUCAAUGGAACAGAAUCAUUAAAAAACUGUUUUAAUUAUCACAAAUCUGAUGGAUGAUAAGCUCAUAUAAUAUAGUAAUGCCCAAUUCAAUUGCUAUGAAUAUCAUGUUGUUUAAGUGAUUUUUAACUAAAUAACUAAAUGAUUGUAUUCUAAUGCUACAAUAUAGCAG
rnacentral:lncRNA from 1 species